rnacentral:rRNA from 1 species
CCUACGGGUGGCAGCAGUGGGGAAUAUUGCACAAUGGGGGGAACCCUGAUGCAGCGACGCCGCGUGGGUGAAGGAGUAUUUCGGUAUGUAAAGCCCUAUCAGCAGGGAAGAACAAUGACGGUACCUGACUAAGAAGCACCGGCUAAAUACGUGCCAGCAGCCGCGGUAAUACGUAGGGGGCAAGCGUUAUCCGGAAUCACUGGGUGUAAAGGGAGCGUAGACGGCUGAGCAAGCCUGAAGUGAAAGGCAGGGGCCCAACCCCUGGACUGCUUUGGGAACUGUACGGCUGGAGUGCAGGAGAGGUAAGUGGAAUUCCUAGUGUAGCGGUGAAAUGCGUAGAUAUUAGGAGGAACACCAGUGGCGAAGGCGGCUUACUGGACUGUAACUGACGUUGAGGCUCGAAGGCGUGGGGAGCAAACAGGAUUAGAUACCCCUGUAGUC